rnacentral:rRNA from 1 species
GUCGAACGAUGAUCCGGUUUCGGCCGGGGAUUAGUGGCGAACGGGUGAGUAACACGUGGGCAAUCUGCCCUGCACUCUGGGACAAGCCCUGGAAACGGGGUCUAAUACCGGAUAGUACCUUCGGGCGCAUGCCUGUUGGUGGAAAGCUCCGGCGGUGCAGGAUGGGCCCGCGGCCUAUCAGCUUGUUGGUGGGGUGAUGGCCUACCAAGGCGACGACGGGUAGCCGGCCUGAGAGGGCGACCGGCCACACUGGGACUGAGACACGGCCCAGACUCCUACGGGAGGCAGCAGUGGGGAAUAUUGCACAAUGGGCGCAAGCCUGAUGCAGCGACGCCGCGUGAGGGAUGACGGCCUUCGGGUUGUAAACCUCUUUCAGCAGGGAAGAAGCGAGAGUGACGGUACCUGCAGAAGAAGCGCCGGCUAACUACGUGCCAGCAGC